CACUGGCACAGGAGUGGUGAUGCUGCAUUCAAGCUGUGGCCUUAAAGAAAGGAAGCGAAAAAAAGAAGAAGAAAAAGAAGAAGAAGAAAAAGAAAGGAAACACUGGCAGUAUCAACAUCGCGAGAUGAUAGCGGACUGCAAUGGCAAACUGCCAAUCUUAGCCAAGGUUUAAAAGCAACCUCUCUAGCCUCCCCAUGGACCAUAGUGCCCUCCACCAGACACAUUCAAGAACUGUUGAUCCAGGGGAAAAAGGAAAAUCGGAAUUCCUUCUCUUUUCUGUGAUGGGUCACGUACAUUAUAAGUGUCAGAAACGUCGUCUGAACGUUGACUGCAGCCCCAGCGCUAGACGUGCAACCUGGAUUACCCACAAGAGGUCUGUGCCAUCCAUACUACAGUCUACGGUGCCACCCAGCAAAACGACAGUACAGGACCUGCCCUGCCGGAUGUCAGGGCUCUGAUUUCACAGCACGCUGGCAUGUUAUUGGCCCAUUCACGACUCAAGCCCUGGAUUCCUGUGGGACUGUGGGAGAAGCUUGCCGCUGAGUGUCAGAACCCAGUCGGAAAAAAAAAAGUCACUCUCUUUCAACACAUGAGUGGGCGACGGGGAAGGAGAGAAUGAGAACCAGAAGGGGAGAUGAGGCGAGAGGGAAACGAGAGCGACAGAGCCUGAGAGAAAAUUUGUCAGACAGUGAAGCAAGAGUGGACAAUAGCAUACGUGGAUCCGUAGACUACCUUUCUCGCUCUGUCUUUCCUUUUCCUUUUUGCCUUUUCUCUCUCUUGUCUGUCUAUCUUCCUCUCCUCUAUCUCAAUCUCUACCCAUCCUCAAUACAGGGUCGCAGGCUGAUGUUGUUUAACACAGCUGGUCAACCAGGUUCACUCUCACUGAGGAAAUGGGGUUAGUUACCUUUUAACCUGCACCUGCAGACAAUCCACCAUCCAAAUAAAAACCAUUCAUACAAUUACAAUUGAGAUACACAGCCAUCUUUUCUUUCCCUUACAUUCUACAGGUUUAG